rnacentral:rRNA from 1 species
UGAAGCAGCCCCGCGAGGGUGAGCAAACCACAGAAACGGCGUCCCAGUUCGGAUUGCAGCCUGCAACUCGGCUGCAUGAAGCUGGAAUCGCUAGUAAUCGCGGAUCAGAAUGCCGCGGUGAAUACGUUCCCGGGUCUUGUACACACCGCCCGUCACACCAUGGGAGUCGGGAAUGCCCGAAGUCAGUGACCCAACCGAAAGGGGGGAGCUGCCGAAGGCAGGCCUGGUAACUGGGGUGAAGUCGUAACAAGGUAAC